rnacentral:rRNA from 1 species
AACGAACGCUGGCGGCAUGCCUAACACAUGCAAGUCGAACGAUACCUUCGGGUACUGUUGCGCACGGGUUCGGAACGCGAGGGAAGCUUCACGCGGGGUCGGAAUAACUUAGAGAAAUGUGCGAUAUUACGGGACGAAUACUUAAGCCCAAUGAGUUAUUGCCAGAGGAUGAGCCCGCGUAGAAUUAGGAAGUUGGUGAGGUAAAGGCUCACCAGGCCGACGAUCCUUAGCUGGUCUGAGAGGAGGAUCAGCCACACUGGGACUGAGACACGACCCAGACUCCUGCGGGAGGCAGCAGUGGGGAAUAUUGGACAAGGGGCGAAAGCCUGAUCCAGCAGUGCCGAGUGAGUGGUGAAGGCCUUAGGGUUGUAAGGCUCUUUUACCCGGGAUGAUAAUGACAGUACCGGGAGAAUAAGCACCGGCUAACUCCGU